GACGAACGCUGGCGGCGUGCUUAACACAUGCAAGUCGAACGGAAAGGCCGGGCCUUGGUGCGGUGGUCGAGGUACGAACGGGUGAGUAACACGUGGGUAAGCUGUCCCUGACUGUGGGAUAACUUCAUGAAACUUGGGCUAAUACCGGAUAGGAGCUCUUGCUUCUGGGUGGGGGUGGGAAAGUUUCGGUGGUUGGUGAUGGACUCGCGGCUUAUCAGCUUGUUGGUUGGGUAGUGGCUUACCAAGGCUUUGACGGGUAGCCGGCCUGAGAGGGUGAGAGGACACACUGGGCCUGAGAUGAGGCACAGACUACUACGCGACGCAGGAGUGCAGAAGAGUGCACAAUGGGCGGAGGCAAGAUGCAGCCAAGCCGCGUGCGGGAUGACGGGAAGCGGGUUGGGAUCCGAUUCCGCCUGUGACGAAGCGUGAGUGACGGUAACGGGUAAAGAAGCACCGGCUAACUACGUG
rnacentral:rRNA from 1 species